rnacentral:rRNA from 1 species
GGCCGCCGUGGAGAAAUCCGCGGGGGAUCGGUAUUACAACCCUUUGUGAACCAAACUUUGUUGCUUCGGGGGCGACCCCGCCGUCACGGCGGUGGUGCCCCCGGUGGCCAUCAAUCAAACUCUGCAUCUCUUUGCGUCGGAGUCUUGAAUAGAAUUCAAACAAAACUUUCAACAACGGAUCUCUUGGUUCUGGCAUCGAUGAAGAACGCAGCGAAAUGCGAUAAGUAAUGUGAAUUGCAGAAUUCAGUGAAUCAUCGAAUCUUUGAACGCACAUUGCGCCCCGUGGUAUUCCGCGGGGCAUGCCUGUUCGAGCGUCAUUUCACCACUCAAGCCUGGCUUGGUAUUGGGCGCCGCGGUCGAUUGAUCGCGCGCCUUAAAGUCUCCGGCUGAGCAGUCUGUCUCCGAGCGUUGUGACACAUGUCGCUAGGGAGUACAGGUCUGCCGCGGCCGUUAAAUCUUUUAACAGGUUGACCUCGGAUCAGGUAGGGAUACCCGCUGAACUUAAGCAUAUCAAUAAGCGGAGGAAAAGAAACCAACAGGGAUUGCCCUAGUAACGGCGAGUGAAGCGGCAACAGCUCAAAUUUGAAAUCUGGCGCAAGCCCGAGUUGUAAUUUGUAGAGGAUGCUUCUGGGCAGCGGCCGUUCUAAGUUCCUUGGAACAGGACGUCAUAGAGGGUGAGAAUCCCGUAUGUGACCGGCACGUACCCUCCACGUAGCUCCUUCGACGAGUCGAGUUGUUUGGGAAUGCAGCUCUAAAUGGGAGGUAAAUUUCUUCUAAAGCUAAAUACCGGCCAGAGACCGAUAGCGCACAAGUAGAGUGAUCGAAAGAUGAAAAGCACUUUGGAAAGAGAGUUAAAAAGCACGUGAAAUUGUUGAAAGGGAAGGGCUUACAACCAGACUUCGUGGCGGUGUUCCGCCGGUCUUCUGACCGGUCCAUUCGCCGCCGCGAGGCCAGCAUCGUCUGGGGCCGCCGGAUAAGACCGUGAGAAUGUAGCUCCCCUCGGGGAGUAUUAUAGCUCGCGGUGAUGCGGCGCGUCCCGGGCGAGGUCCGCGCUC